GAUGAACGCUGGCGGCGUGCUUAACACAUGCAAGUCGAACGGAAAGGCCCAAGCUUGCUUGGGUACUCGAGUGGCGAACGGGUGAGUAACACGUGGGUGAUCUGCCCUGCACUUCGGGAUAAGCCUGGGAAACUGGGUCUAAUACCGGAUAGGACCACUUCUUGGAUGUUGUGGUGGGGAGUUUUUUCGGUGUGGGGUGUGGUCGCGGCCUAUCAGCUUGUGUGUGGGGGAAUGGCCUACCACGGCGUCGACGGGGAGACGGCCUGUGAGGGGGUACGGCGACAUUGGGGCUGAGAGACGGCCCAGAGUCCUACGGGGGGCAGCAGUGGGGAAUAUUGUACAAUGUGGGCGAGCCUGAGGCAGCGACGCGGCGUGGGGGAUGACGGCCUUCUGGUUGUAAACUCCUUUCGCUAGGGACGAAGCGUUUUUGUGACGGUACCUGGAGAAGAAGCACCGGCUAACUACGUG
rnacentral:rRNA from 1 species